rnacentral:rRNA from 1 species
UACGAGGGGGGCAAAUGCUGUUCGGAAUCACUGGGCGUAAAGGGAGCGUAGGCGGGUGUUUAAGUUAGGUGUUUAAUCCUGGGGCCCAACCCCAGUCGUGCACCUAAAACUGGACAUCUUGAAUAGGGGAGAGGUCAGUGGAAUUGGAGGUGUAGCGGUGGAAUGCGUAGAGAUCUCCAAGAACACCAGUUGCGAAGGCGGCUGACUGGACCCAUAUUGACGCUGAGGCUCGAAAGCAUGGGGAGCAAACAGG